rnacentral:rRNA from 1 species
CCUACGGGGGACUGCAGUGAGGAAUAUUGGUCAAUGGGCGCGAGCCUGAACCAGCCAAGUAGCGUGAAGGAUGACUGCCCUACGGGUUGUAAACUUCUGUUAUAAAGGAAUAAAGUGAGGCACGUGUGCCUUUUUGUAUGGACGUUAUGAAUAAGGAUCGACUAACGCCGUGCCAGCAGCCGCGGUAAUACGGAGGAACCGAGCGUUAUCCGGAUUUAUUGGGUUUAAAGGGAGCGUAGAUGGGUUGUUAAGUCAGUUGUGACCGUUUGCGGCUCAACCGUAAAAUUGCAAUUGAUACUGGCAGCCUUGAGUACAGUUGAGGUAGGCGGCAUUCGUGGUGUAGC